rnacentral:rRNA from 1 species
GUUAGAAUUUAAGGUCUAACCUGCCCACUGAUUAGUUUAAUGGCCGCAGUAAUUUGACUGUGCAAAGGUAGCAUAAUCAUUAGUUUUUUAAUUUGAAGCUUGUAUGAAUGGUUGGACGAAAUAGAAUCUGUCUCUUAGUAAAUAUUAGAAUUUAAUUUUUAAGUUAAAAAGCUUAAAUUUUUAUAAAAGACGAGAAGACCCCAUAGAUUUUUAUAUUUUUUUUUUUAUUUUUAAUUAGGAAUAUUUUCUUAAUUAGAAUUGAGAAUAUUUUAUUGGGGUAAUAAGAAGAUUGGGUUAAUUCUUUUUUUUAGUUUUCAUUAAUUUUUGUUUAUUUGAUCCUUUUUUAAAGAUUUUAAGAUUAAGUUACCUUGGGGAUAACAGCGUAAUUUUUUUAGAGAGUUCUUAUCGAAAAAAAAGUUUGCGACCUCGAUGUUGGAUUAAAAGUUAUUUCGGGUGUAGAAGUUCGAAGGUUUGGUCUGUUCGACCAUUAAAUUUUUACAUGAUCUGAGUUCAGACCGGCGUAAGCCAGGUUGGUUUCUAUCUUUAUUUAGAUAAUUUAUUUUAGUACGAAAGGACCAAAUAAUUAAUAUAAAAUAUUUAAUGUUGAAUAAAA